rnacentral:rRNA from 1 species
UACGGAGGUGGCAAGCGUUGUUCGGAAUUACUGGGCGUAAAGGGCGCGUAGGCGGCAAGGCAAGUCAGGUGUGAAAGCCCCGAGCUUAACUCGGGAAUUGCAUCUGAAACUGCUGUGCUUGAGUUCUGGAGGGGGUAGUGGAAUUCCCAGUGUAGCGGUGAAAUGCGUAGAUAUUGGGAGGAACACCUGUGGCGAAGGCGGCUACCUGGACAGAAACUGACGCUGAGGCGCGAAAGCUAGGGGAGCGAACGGG